GGGUCCGGACACACUGAGGAUUGACAGGCAAAAGAUACAAGUUUUCUUUGUGAGAGCUUGCAUUGUAAAAUAUGCGAGUCCUUUCAUGAUUAUGUGAUAGGUGGUGCAUGGCCGUUCUUAGUUCGUGGAGUGAUCUGUCUGCUUAAUUGCGUUUCACAACGAUUUAAAAUGCUAUGUUUUCUGUGUUUGCUGUUCGGUUUUGCUCUUACGGGAGUUUUAACUUUGAACGCACACGGCGUAGCUUAAAACAAUCGGAAAGCAACGAACGUGGCCGCAACCUCUUGUUGCCUUUAUUUUUAAAAGCGUGGAAAAUUUUAUAUUUUCUUACGCUUGAAAAAGGCUUUAAAACUAGAGGGACCGCUGUUCUAUUCUCUUAAACCAGAGGAAGAUUGCGGCAAUAACAGGUCUGUGAUGCCCUCAGAUGUUCCGGGCUGCACACGUGCUACAAUGAUUGUUGCAGUGAGCAUCUAUUUUCAAACGCUACCGUUGCGGAUUUUGUGAGAAGGGGAUUUGUUUUAAAGCUUUCGGGUGGAGAAGCAGGUUCUUUUUUUCACAAUUUAUUCCGCGUUACGUGUCAGCUAAACCUGCUUCGAAAGCAAGUAGGU
rnacentral:rRNA from 1 species